GAGAAAAUUAGAGUGUUCAAAGCAGGCCGGCCGCCGGCAUACUGCAGCUAGGAAUAAUGGAAUAGGACUCCGGUUCUAUUUUGUUGGUUUUCGGAAACGGGGCCAUGAUUAAGAGGGACGGCCGGGGGCAUUCGUAUUGUGCCGCUAGAGGUGAAAUUCUUGGACCGGCGCAAGACGGCCUAGAGCGAAAGCAUUUGCCAAGAAUGUUUUCAU
rnacentral:ncRNA from 1 species